UACGUAGGGGGCGAGCGUUGUCCGGAUUUAUUGGGCGUAAAGAGCGUGUAGGCGGCCAGGUAGGUCUGCUGUGAAAACUCGAGGCUCAACCUCGAGACGUCGGCGGAAACCAUCUGGCUAGAGUCCGGAAGAGGAGAGUGGAAUUCCUGGUGUAGCGGUGAAAUGCGUAGAUAUCAGGAGGAAUACCGAUGGCGAAGGCAGGUCUCUGGGCUAGAACUGACGCUCAUGCACGAAAGCGUGGGGAGCAAACAGG
rnacentral:rRNA from 1 species